rnacentral:rRNA from 1 species
GACGGGGGGGGCAAGCGUUGUUCGGAAUUACUGGGCGUAAAGGGCUCGUAGGCGGCCAACUAAGUCGGAUGUGAAAUCCCCAGGCUUAACCUGGGAACUGCAUCCGAUACUGGAUGGCUUGAAUCCGGGAGAGGGAUGCGGAAUUCCAGGUGUAGCGGUGAAAUGCGUAGAUAUCUGGAGGAACACCGGUGGCGAAGGCGGCAUCCUGGACCGGCAUUGACGCUGAGGAGCGAAAGCCAGGGGAGCAAACGGG